rnacentral:rRNA from 1 species
CCUACGGGAGGCAGCAGUGAGGAAUAUUGGUCAAUGGGCGCGAGCCUGAACCAGCCAAGUCGCGUGAGGGAAGACGGCCCUACGGGUUGUAAACCUCUUUUGCCGGGGAGCAAAGGGCGCCACGUGUGGCGCCAAGGAGAGGACCCGGAGAAAAAGCAACGGCUAACUCAGGGCCAGCAGCCGCGGUAAUACGGAGGAUGCGAGGGUUAUCUGGAUUGAUUGGGUUUAAAGGGUGCGUAGGCGGAGCGUUAAGUCAGUGGUCAAAUUGAGGGGCUCACCCCCUUCCCGCCAUUGAAACUGGCGCUCUUGAGUGGAAGAGAAGUAUGCGGAAUGCGUGGUGUAGCGGUG